GACUCACUGGCUCAUCUUUGGCUUUUGUGUGGUGUCUUCACUGAGUAAAGCCACGACAGAGGAAUGGAACCACAGUCUCCUCCUGAGUCCACAUCGUCCCCAGUGCAAACACGUGUUGCAAAGGAUUUCAGUUUUACUAUUGCAGUCAGUAGAGAAACCAACUGGGGAUAAGUUUGAAGGACGUGCUGCUGAUCUUAGAUGCCUUCUUGAAGUCAACCACAUAAGCAGGUAACUUUCUGUUCCUGCUGAUGUAAUUUUUUCCCCCACAUAUCCUUUAUGGUUCUAUUAAUAGCUGUGGUCUCAGAUGCUCAAACGUGGCCAGUGUGAAUCAAUGUCUUCCUGCUGCCUGCUGAUGAAGAUGGAAAACUCCCAGCUACCCAGGCAGCACCAUGUCUGCCUAUAUGCUGCAAUGCUUCCCAUCAUGAAAACAGUGGACUAAACCGUGAACUGUAAACCAGCCCCAAUUAAAUGUUUUCUUU
ensembl:lincRNA Gm44029 predicted gene, 44029